GAUGAACGCUGGCGGCGUGCCUAAUACAUGCAAGUCGAGCGAACAGACGAGGAGCUUGCUCCUCUGACGUUAGCGGCGGACGGGUGAGUAACAUGUGGAUAACCUACCUAUAAGACUGGGAUAACUUCGGGAAACCGGAGCUAAUACCGGAUAAUAUAUUGAACCGCAUGGUUCAAUAGUGAAAGACGGUUUUGCUGUCACUUAUAGAUGGAUCCGCGCCGCAUUAGCUAGUUGGUAAGGUAACGGCUUACCAAGGCAACGAUGCGUAGCCGACCUGAGAGGGUGAUCGGCCACACUGGAGCUGAGACACGGUCCAGACUCCUACGGGAGGCAGCAGUAGGAAAUCUUCCGCAAUGGGCGAAAGCCUGACGGAGCAACGCCGCGUGAAUGAUGAAGGUCUUCGGAUCGUAAAACUCUGUUAUUAGGGAAGAACAAAUGUGUAAGUAACUAUGCACGUCUUGACGGUACCUAAUCAGAAAGCCACGGCUAACUACGUG
rnacentral:rRNA from 1 species